rnacentral:rRNA from 1 species
CAGCACCUCAAGUGGUCAGGAUGAUUAUUUGGCCUAAAGCAUCCGUAGCCGGCGCUGUAAGUUUUCGGUUAAAUCUGUACGCUUAACGUACAGGCUGCCGGGAAUACUGCAGAGCUAGGGAGUGGGAGAGGUAGACGGUACUCGGUAGGAAGGGGUAAAAUCCUUUGAUCUAUUGAUGACCACCUGUGGCGAAGGCGGUCUACCAGAACACGUCCGACGGUGAGGGAUGAAAGCUGGGGGAGCAAACCGGAUUAGAGACCCGAGUAGUCC